UACGAAGGGUGCAAACGUUGCUCGGAAUCAUUGGGCGUACAGCGCACGUAGGCGGCUUCAAAAGUCGGAUGUGAAAUCCCGUGGCUCAACCAUGGACGUGCAUUCGAAACUGCGAAGCUUGAGUAUGGAAGAGGGUCGCGGAAUUCCCGGUGUAGAGGUGAAAUUCGUAGAUAUUCGGCGGAACACCAGUGGCGAAGGCGACUCACUGGCCCGAUACUGACGCUGAGGCGCGAAAGCGUGGGGAGCAAACAGG
rnacentral:rRNA from 1 species